CUCUCUCUCUCUCUCUACAAACCCUUACCAUCCCAAGUUCCCAACCUCCUUGACCGCGACUCCUUGAGACCUUCCUCGACUUCUCCGACUCGCCGCCCUUCACCAUCGAUCUCUCAUUCGAGUGGAUCCUCGACUCCCGUGACUCCGACACCGAUCAGAUCAAGCUCAUUGAUCGCACCCUGCAGUUGAGAUCGGUGCUCCUCGAGGCCGGUAAGAGCUCGGCGAGACGACGAGCCUCCAAGCACAACUCCAUCUCCUGGGCUCUCCCUCUCGACCUCACCAUCAAGGAGGCAGAAAUUACCGAGCAAGACUCGCUUCUGAUUCCACUUUCCUCUUCUAGUUGACCUCUCCUCCUCCUCCGGCAACGAUGACCUCGAGAACUGGGAUGCCGACUUCGUCAAGGUCGACCAGGCCACCCUUUUUGAUCUCAUCCCGUUUAAGCAGUAGAGGAGUUUAUGAGCGCAAUGGAUGAGCAAGGAGGGCAAAAGAGUUAGUAACAAAUAAGAACAACAUGAGAUACAGACCCCAAUCAUAUAAUCAAGGAUCGUUGAAAUGGAAAUUGGGGACUUCUUAUCAUUCAUCGUUUCAUUGAAAUUUAUUAUAAAAAAUAUUAAGAUUCAAACACGUGUAAUUAUAGAGUAUCUCCUCCUUUCCAAUUCAUAAUCCAAACACCAGAUUGGUGCCUUAG